UACGUAGGGGGCUAGCGUUGUCCGGAAUCAUUGGGCGUAAAGAGCGUGUAGGCGGCUCGGUAAGUCCGCUGUGCAAGUCCAGGGCUCAACCCUGGAAUGCCAGUGGAAACUGUCGAGCUAGAGUCCGGAAGAGGCGAGUGGAAUUCCUGGUGUAGCGGUGAAAUGCGCAGAUAUCAGGAGGAACACCAAUGGCGAAGGCAGCUCGCUGGGACGGUACUGACGCUGAGACGCGAAAGCGUGGGGAGCAAACAGG
rnacentral:rRNA from 1 species